UGUUAAAUACUAAAAUCUGAUUGGUUUAGACGCAGUUGGUAAUCCGUUCAAUUACCCUGAGCGUUAGCAACACACUUGGCAACGGGUAACCCAACGAAUUGCUACAUGCGCGUAAAUUAUGCGCAUAUACCGAUUGCCAUAGAAUUCACUUCAUUUCUAUUUAAAAGGAGUAAAAUUUUCUUUAAAAUUAAGACAUUCAUUAUAAUAAAAUAAAUAGCGCCCAUUUGGGAGGGUAACUGUUGACACCCCUCGAAAACCAUUGUUUACCCCCGCUUCGCGUCGGUUGACAAUGGUUUUCUCGGGCACUUAUUAUAUAACGUUAAAUAAAAUGUUCACCGGGAUAUGAACUCAGUUGGUACGUAAUCAAGUCUUCCGAGAAGCCCUUUGGGCUUCACAGGAUAUGAUCACGUGACAAACCAGGUCCGAUAAAAAUUUUCAAUUGCUGUUUAUUUCUUAAAUAUUAUAUUAUUUUACAAUACUACGUUAUAUUAUUCAAAAUUGUAUCAUAUAACACAAUACUGUAUCAUAUCAUCCAAUACAAUAAUAUAGGAAUCAUUUAAUAUAACAACAAACUCAUCUUUCAAACACGUUUGAUUGAGGUACUUAGGACAAUUGUUUUAGCAUCCUUGAUAAUGAAGAGAUCAUUCUCUGUUUCUGAAGCAAGCCGUAUGUAUCAAAUUCAAAGUUAUAUGAUCCAUAUAAGUUUGUCAGGACAGCUGUUCUCCAGAUAUCAAACCUACAUUCGACUACUCAAAAAAUCUACACGUGCUCCAUUAUAAUAACCUCCGGAAUCCGGAAAAUAUGGUUCAGAUUUAGCAUCCAUACAUGUUGAGUGCAUUGGUAUCAAAACCUGCAUCAUUUAUACAAAUUUGAUAAACACUAAACCAAAAACUAAGAUGUGUCCAUCAAAGGGCAUCUGCUCCAAAAAAAAUUAACCAACUCCAAAAACCUUAAAUGUAUCAUCAUUCAGCAUCUGAAACCUAUGGCUCAGAUUAAGCAUUUGAUCCUGUCAACUGCAUAUCUAUCAUCAGACACACCUGUCAUGCAAGUAUGGUGGAGUUAGGACCAGUAGUAAGUAAGAUAUAGUCAUCAAAUGGCACCUGCUCCAAAAUCUUUGCUCUGCUCUUAACAUUUUUAAAGCCAACAUCCAGAAUUCAAGUUCCAGAUUCAGCAUCCAAGUCUUAAAAGUUCAUUAGUUUGUCCAGAUGCACCAUCCAUGCAAGUUUGAUGAAGGUAAGUUAAUUAAUAAUUUAGAUACAAGACCUGCACCACAAACUUUUACCACGUCCAGACGCCAACGGUAUAACAUAAGCUCCAGUCAACCUCGUGUCAGUGAGCUAAAAAAGUUUUGAUUAAAUGUCAAUUGCCACUUGCCCCAAUGGGAUUUACAUAAAUCAUUUGCAAUGUUAUGAUAUGCAUGUGACAUGAUUAAGUACGAUAAUUAAAACGUUACUGUAGUGACGUCUAUGAUCAAUACAGUAUAAUGAAAAUUACAGCUUAUAGUUUCGUUUAACAUCUUUAAUCUUCUCAUGAAAUACAGGACAUUUUCAUUUCCGCAUCUUCAGCCUCUUUGCACACAGAUAGCAACAGACUUGAUGGCUCAUGCCAUCGUGAAUGAUGCUGCCUGUUUUAGCUCUUCUCAAACACAGGCCAUUUGGACCUUUCUACAUGGCAAAUUGCUGCGGUAGGUAAGCAGAGAAUGUCGCAACUUGGUGUUCUAGACAAGUGGUUUACGAGGGCAUGGUGCCCUGGCUGUACGGACACACAAUUGAGUAAAAGUUGUCCUUAAACUUCUUGGUAGAGUUCAUGUCUUGAGUGUGACAACUUCAACAUCUUAGCAGAAUUCGAUGGAGAAUGCAUCUUCCAUUUUCGUUCGCCAGACUGGACGAAUCUUCAAGCAGAAGAUACAGUGGCGUUGAAGGGAGAUUCAAAACUGUUACAAAUGAGGAAAUAGAGAAAUUUUUCGACUCCAGGCAAGCAAAAUCAACAAAAAGAAAUACAGCAUGGGGAUUUUUCAAGAUUGGAACAUGGAGAUCUAUGGUUCUGUACUAAUGGUGCAACAUUAGACCUGCAAACAGCAAAUGUGUCAACUCUUGCCAGUCAUCUCUCGUGAUUUUAUUGUGAAGCCAGCCCCAAAGAAAAAGUUGAUGAUGAUGUUUAGCCUUUGUACCACAAAAAUACUUUGAUCAAUAUCAAAGGAGCAAUAAAUCGCCAUCUUGCUGACAUUCAGAAAGAUGUAAAUAUAGUCCAUGACAAGGAGUUCAGAACAGCCAAUGGAAUCUUGGAUGGUUUCUUUAAAGAGCGAACCUGACUUGAUCUGUCAAAACCAACAUCACACAAAGAUAUUAUCGAGAUACAUGAUCUGCAGAAGAUUUAUAAAUACCUCCAAGGUGCCACAUCAUCACCAGUGGUUUUGCGCCAUGCUGUAUGGUACUUUCUGUCCAUCAAUUUUAUUACCAGAGGUUUAGAGUUCCACCAUAAGUUUAAUCAUAACAGCUUUGUCUUCUGCACAGAUGAAACUUGCCAAUAUGCUGCAUUACAACACAAAACAUUACAAAAUAAUCAUCAAGGUGGUGUAGAUGCCGAUGACAGCCAUACAGACAAGAUAAUGUAUGCAACUGAUAAUGAAAACUGCUGUCAUGUUUAUCUCUUAAAGUUACUGAUGUCAAAAACAGAUUCAAAUGCUACAAAUCUUUUCAACCAAUACAUAUAAGAGAGAGUUCAUUGUGAUAUUUGGUAUUCAGCAAAACCCCUGCCAAAGCGCACUUUCAACAAGUCUCUCGGGGAGAUUUGCUUUCCUGCUGGUGUGGAGCAUAAAUACACAUCCCACUGUUUACGGGCCACUGCAAACACUUACCUUAAUGAUCAGGGAUUUGAAGCACGACAUAUCAUGUUCAUGUCGAACCAAAGGAAUGAGAGUUCAAUGAGGUCAUAUAACAGAUUGCUCUCCUCUAAGCAAAAAAAAAAAGCAUUCUGCGAUGGCGUCUGCAUCUUCAUCCCCUUUUACGAUUGUAGCUCUUCCACCGCUGUCGACCAGGUUCUCGAACUUGCCACCACGAACCCAUGAAAAUCAGGCUCAACUUGAAAACUUACCGUCACCAUCUGCACAUGAGACCACAACUCUCAUAUCGUCAAAUUCCACAGCCACAACAUCGUCCUCCAUGCCAGCAACAUUGAAAACAGUUAACAUGAACAUGCAAAACAUUAAUCCAACAGCUGGGUUUUUCAAUAAUGCAAACUUCAGGGAGAGCACAUUUCGUUUUACUCAGUUGUGCUUACUGUAUUGUUACGUGUUGAUAAUGUUUAUUCUUAAUGAAUAAAUCAUCUUGUUGGAAAAUACUCAUGUAUUGUUAUUGAAUUCAAACUUUUGCGAUUAAAUAUAGCAUUUCUCAAAAAAAAAAAAAUCUUUCUUCAUAAUAUUUUUGAGCACUAUAUUUCCCAUGUCACAACAGCUGAUUUUUUGGCUCUUCCAUCAAUUACCAACACCUGCUAGUAAAGGCGCAAAUUUUAAAACUACGACCAUUAAUAAAAUAAAAAAUAAAAUCAAUAUAAAUAUAAUUUGUUUGCUCGCAUUGGUGUGUCAUAGGACCGACAAAUCCAAAAAAAAAAAGCAUUCAAUGCUUAUAUGCACGAUACAUAACCAUUGUACCUUAGAACAGUAAGUGCUUUGAGAGCAACAUAAUAGUAAUACAUCAGAACCCUAAGCCAUCGAUAUGGUCAACUGAGAGCAACACAACAUUAUUCUAAAAAACCAAACCAAUUAGUAGCAACCUGUAUACUGAAAGCAACUGAACAGUUGUACAAUCCAGUUUUAUAACAGUACUCAAGGCAAAUGAUGAUGCAGUUGAUACCAAGUUCCAAUGCUAUUGGUACGGUCUACUAAGAACAACAAAACAGUCAUACAUUCGUACCCGACACAAUUCAAACUUUCCACUGAGAGCAACCCAACAACUUAGCACCUAUUUACCUGGUAUUAUUCAGUACACUGACCUAUA